CGAGCGAAGCGUAUUAGCGGAAGUUUUCGGAUGGAAGCGGAUAUGACUUAGCGGCGGACGGGUGAGUAACGCGUGGAUAACCUGCCUCAUACAGGGGGAUAACAGUUAGAAAUGACUGCUAAUACCGCAUAAGCGCACAGGACCGCAUGGUCCGGUGUGAAAAACUCCGGUGGUAUGGGAUGGAUCCGCGUCUGAUUAGCUGGUUGGUGAGGUAACGGCCCACCAAGGCGGCGAUCAGUAGCCGACCUGAGAGGGUGGCCGGCCACAUUGGGACUGAGACACGGCCCAAACUCCUACGGGAGGCAGCAGUGGGGAAUAUUGCACAAUGGGGGAAACCCUGAUGCAGCAACGCCGCGUGAGUGAAGAAGUAUUUCGGUAUGUAAAGCUCUAUCAGCAGGGAAGAAGAAAGACGGUACCUGACUAAGAAGCCCCGGCUAACUACGUGCCAGCAGCCGCGGUAAUACGUAGGGGGCAAGCGUUAUCCGGAUUUACUGGGUGUAAAGGGAGCGUAGACGGCUGUGCAAGUCUGAAGUGAAAGCCCGUGGCUCAACCGCGGAACUGCUUUGGAAACUGUAUAGCUUGAGUACUGGAGAGGCAGGCGGAAUUCC
rnacentral:rRNA from 1 species